rnacentral:misc_RNA from 1 species
AAGUCGUAACAAGGUUUCCGUAGGUGAACCUGCGGAAGGAUCAUUAUCAAAUGUCCUCCCUUCACGUCUUGUGCACCGUUAUUAAGCCUUGGUGGGCCCUGCCUGCCGCUCCGGCGGCGCAGACCCACCGCCCGACCACGUACCUCUAGACACGCGCUGAAUCUUUAUACACAAUAUAAAGACAACUUUUAGCAACGGAUCUCUUGGCUCUC